GACGUAGGGCGCAAGCGUUUGUCCGGAUUUAUUGGGCGUAAAGAGCUCGUAGGCGGCUUGUUGCGUCGUCCGUGAAAACCCGCAGCUCAACUGCGGGCUUGCGGACGAUACGGGCAGGCUGGAGUUCGGUAGGGGAGACUGGAAUUCCUGGUGUAGCGGUGAAAUGCGCAGAUAUCAGGAGGAACACCGGUGGCGAAGGCGGGUCUCUGGGCCGAUACUGACGCUGAGGAGCGAAAGCGUGGGGAGCGAACAGG
rnacentral:rRNA from 1 species